GACAGAGGCCUCGAGCGUUUAGGCGGAAUCACUGGGCUUAAAGCGUGUGUAGGCGGAUCGUUAAGUACCUUGUGAAAUCCCACGGCUCAACCGUGGAACGGCGCUUGAUACUGCAUGGCUUGAGGGAGACAGGGGUAAGCGGAACUGAUGGUGGAGCGGUGAAAUGCGUUGAUAUCAUCAGGAACACCGGUGGCGAAAGCGGCUUACUGGGUCUCUUCUGACGCUGAGGAACGAAAGCUAGGGUAGCGAACGGG
rnacentral:rRNA from 1 species